rnacentral:rRNA from 1 species
CAAUAGCGUAUAUUGAAGUUGUUGCAGUUAAAAAGCUCGUAGUUGGAUUUCUGGUAGGAGCGACCGUGCCGAACUUGAUUGUUCGAGUAUUGUGUUGUCUUCAGCCAUCCUCGUGGAGAACUUUUCUAACAUUAACUUGUUGGGAUUGGGACCCGCGUCGUUUACCGUGAAAAAAUUAGAGUGUUUAAAGCAGGCAUUAGCUUGAAUACAUUAGCAUGGAAUAAUAAGAUAGGACUUUGGUACUAUUUUGUUGGUUUGCAUACCAAAUUAAUGAUCAACAGGAACAGUUUGAGGAUAUUCGUAUGAACAUGUCAGAGGUGAAAUUCUUGGAUUUUGAUCAGACGAACUACUGCGAAAGCAUUUAUCAAGGAUGUUUUCAUUAA